GACGAACGCUGGCGGCGUGCCUAAUACAUGCAAGUGGGACGCAAGAGAACACACUGUGCUUGCACACCGUGUUUUCUUGAGUCGCGAACGGGUGAGUAACGCGUAGGUAACCUGCCUAUUAGCGGGGGAUAACUAUUGGAAACGAUAGCUAAUACCGCAUAAUAUUAAUUAUUGCAUGAUAAUUGAUUGAAAGAUGCAAGCGCAUCACUAGUAGAUGGACCUGCGUUGUAUUAGCUAGUUGGUAAGGUAAGAGCUUACCAAGGCGACGAUACAUAGCCGACCUGAGAGGGUGAUCGGCCACACUGGGACUGAGACACGGCCCAGACUCCUACGGGAGGCAGCAGUAGGGAAUCUUCGGCAAUGGACGAAAGUCUGACCGAGCAACGCCGCGUGAGUGAAGAAGGUUUUCGGAUCGUAAAGCUCUGUUGUAAGU
rnacentral:rRNA from 1 species